rnacentral:rRNA from 1 species
CGGGCCAAAGGCAUGCCUCAGUAGCGGCGAGUGAAGCGGCAAGAGCUCAGAUUUGAAAUCGUGCUUUGCGGCACGAGUUGUAGAUUGCAGGUUGGAGUCUGUGUGGAAGGCGGUGUCCAAGUCCCUUGGAACAGGGCGCCCAGGAGGGUGAGAGCCCCGUGGGAUGCCGGCGGAAGCAGUGAGGCCCUUCUGACGAGUCGAGUUGUUUGGGAAU